GUACUCAAGGGCACAAAAUGGAUGCCUAGACAUAUACUACCGAUGAAGGACGUGGAAGGCUGCGAAAAGUCUCGGCUAGCUGUCAUCAAGCUGUGAACCGGGAAUGUCCGAAUGGGGAAACCCGCCGCGGGUCAUGCCGUGAGCAUCGUACGCUGAAUAAAAUAGGCGUAGUGAAAGGGAACCGUCUGAACUGAAACAUCUUAGUAAGGCGAGGAAAAGAGAGUAAAUAACGAUUCUGGGAGUAGUGGCGAGCGAAACUGGAAUAGCCCAAACCUUGUAUUGUUUUGUUCUCAUCAUCCGGACUGACCUGUCUACCUCGGUAGGUGAGUUGGUAUGGAUGGUGAGAACGAUAUGGCUGACAGGCUAAUGCAAUCAGGGUGUUGUGAGUCUACAGAGUUUUAAGAUCCAGCACUUCUAUACGGAGUGUUGAAUCUUAAAAGUGACGACUGUCAUCGAGCACAUAAGGUAAAAAAUCGGCGUGGUUAGUAGAACGAGUUGGAAAGCUCAGCCGGAGACUGUGAUAGCCAGGUAUGCGAAAACGACGCUGACCUUAUUCUGUAUUCUCGAGUAGGUCGGGGCACGAGAAACCCUGAUUGAAUCCGGCUGGACCACCAGCCAAGGCUAAAUAUAGUAUAUGAUCGAUAGUGAACUAGUACGGUGACGGAAAGGUGAAAAGAACCCCGGGAGGGGAGUGAAAUAGAACCUGAAAUUUUGUGCCUACAAGGAGUCGGAGCCCAGCACCUUUGAAAUCGAGUGGUACAAUGUAGACAGAUGUUCUACGUGUACGUUUUGCAAAGUGAUCGGGAAUCAGAUCAAAUUUACUUCGGUCAGACCAGUGACUUAAGACGACGUCUCUCGGAGCAUAAUUCCGGUAAGGAUACUUAUACCAAGAUAUAUGCGCCAUGGAAGGUUGUCUAUUAUGAAGCCUAUUCAUCACGUAAGCUGGCAUUAGCUCGUGAGAGGCAGUUGAAAGCUUAUGGACAAGCCAGGACUGCUCUGAAGAAGAGACUAAAUUUGAUCUGAUACUCGAUUUCAAAGGUGCUGGGUGACGGCGUGCUUUUUGUAGAACGAUCCAGCGAGUUAAUUUUUACGGCGAGGUUAAGUCAGAUGAUGAAGCCAUAGUGAAAGCGAGCAUUAACAGUGCGAUUUAGUCGUAAGGAUUAGACCCGAAACCAGGUGACCUAACCAUGAGCAGGUUGAAGCAACCUUAAUCGGUUGUGGAGGACCGAACCAGUGUAUAUUGCAAAAUGCUUGGAUGACUUGUGGUUAGCGGUGAAAUGCCAAUCGAACUUGGAGAUAGCUGGUUCUCCGCGAAAUAGUUAUAGGACUAGCGUCGUGUGAUAGCUUACGGGGGUAGAGCUCUGUCAAGAGAUAGGGGGAGCAAUCCUACCUACUCUUAAUAAACUACGAAUACCGUAUGUCUGUAUCACGGCAGUUAGAACGUCGGUGCUAAGAUCGGCGCUCAAAAGGGAAACAGCCCAGACCAUCAUCUAAGGUCCCCAAAUUUACGCUAAGUGGGAAACAAGGUGGAAUUUCUUAAACAGCUAGGAUGUUGGCUUAGAAGCAGCCAUUCAUUUAAAGAGUGCGUAACAGCUCACUAGUCAAGAGAUUCUGCGUGGAAGAUAUAACGGGGCUAAGCGUAAUACCGAAGAUAUGGAUUGCAAUUUAUUGCAGUGGUAGCGGAGCGUUCCUAUCGGCAGUGAAGCCGGACUGUUAAGUACCGGUGGAGCGUUAGGAAGCGAGAAUGCUGGAACGAGUAACCAUAAGACAGGUGAGAAUCCUGUCGGCCGAAAGAGCGAGGUUUCCUGGGCUAUGGUAAUCAUCCCAGGGUUAGUCGGGCCUAAGCCGAGGCGUUUAGCGUAGGCGAUGGACAUCAGGUUAAUAUUCCUGAACUAGUCAAACUUUGUAUGCAGUUAGCGAUGAGAUAGGUGGAGCGGAUUCAUGGUUUAUCCGUUCAAGUGAUAGAGGAAUCUUGAUCGAGUAAAAGUGAACCUACGGGUUUACGAUUCCGCUGAAGGCAUUGACCAGAAAAGCUGGCAUACGCAUGGGUUUGGCUACCCGUACCGCAAACCGACACAGGUGCUCGAGUCGAGGAGACUAAGGCUUACGAGAGAAUGAUUGCUAAGGAACUCGGCAAUACAGCGACCGUAACUUCGGAAUAAGGUCUGCCUACAUUUGUAGGCCGCAGCUAAAGAGCCCACGGAACUGUUUAUCAAAAACUCAGGUCUCUGCUAACACGAAAGUGGAUGUAUAGGGGCUGAAACCUGCCCGGUGCCGGAAGGUUAAGGGGAUUGCUUCACGGUGAGAACUGAAGCCCCGGUGAACGGCGGCGGUAACUAUAACCGUCCUAAGGUAGCGAAAUUCCUUGUCAGGUAAGUUCUGACCCGCACGAAUGGUUAAAUCAUGUGGGCACUGUCUCAGCAAUUAUCUCGGUGAAAAUGCAUUGGCGGUAAAGAUGCCGUCUGUCCGCACCAGGACGAAAAGACCCCGUGGAGCUUCACUACAGCUUUACAUUGUUGUGGGUUCUAACUUGUGUAGUAUAGGUGGGAGACUUUGAAGCAGAUACGCUAGUAUUUGUGGAGUCAUCAGUGAAAUACCACCCCCGUUAGGAUCUGCAUCUAACCUGUGCCGUUAUCCGGUAUAGGGACCGUGUAUGGUUGGUAGUUUAACUGGGGCGGUUGCCUCCUAAAGAGUAGCGGAGGCGUUCAAAGGUUGGCUAACUUCGGAUGGAAAUCGAAGUGAUAGUGUAUGCGCAUAAGCCAGCUUGACUGUGAGGAGUACAUUCCAAUCAGAGACGAAAGUCGGAGCAAGUGACCCGCUGUACGAACAUUUGUUCAUUGAAUGUGGGAUCGACAGCGCACACGGAUAAAAGUUACCCUGGGGAUAACAGGCUUAUAGCGCCCAAUAGUUCACAUAGACGGCGCUGUUUGGCACCUCGAUGUCGGCUCAUCACAUCCUGGGGCUGGAGCAGGUCCCAAGGGUCCGGCUGUUCGCCGGUUAAAGUGGUACGCGAGCUGGGUUCAGAACGUCGCGAGACAGUUCGGUUUAUAUCCGGUGUGGACGUCAGGAAACUUGCGAGGAUUUGCCCCUAGUACGAGAGGACCGGGGUGAACGCACCUCUGGUGUAUCGGUUGUGACCACCUGUCGCAUUGCCGAGUAGCUAUGUGCGGAGCAGAUAAGCGCUGAAAGCAUAUUAAGCGCGAAACUGACCUCAAGAUUAGGUUUCCCUAUGAGGACACUAAUAGACGAUUAGUUUGAUAGGCACAAGGUGGAAGCACAGUAAUGUGUGGAGCUGAAGUGUACUAAUAGUCCCACUGCCUU
rnacentral:rRNA from 1 species